rnacentral:lncRNA from 1 species
CACACAAAUUUAACGUGGAAACCCAAGUUGGGAAAAACCACGGGCAACGACGAGCUCACUAUAUGGAAGGUAGAGUACAAUCAAAUCCUCAAGAAUUCAAAAUAUGAAGGAAUGAGGAUAAAGAAGAUUUUAAUCUUCAGUACAAGAAAGGCACUGCCUCAAGCAGUUACAGAGAAAAUAUAUAUCACCAACAUACAGAAAAUGCCCCUGAGAAAUAGGCUGCACUUCCAGGAAAAACUGGUGACCAGUAACUGCACAAUAG